rnacentral:rRNA from 1 species
AGUGAACGCUGGCGGUAGGCCUAACACAUGCAAGUCGAACGGCAGCACAGUGAGAGCUUGCUCUUACGGGUGGCGAGUGGCGGACGGGUGAGGAAUACAUCGGAAUCUACUUUUUCGUGGGGGAUAACGUAGGGAAACUUACGCUAAUACCGCAUACGACCUACGGGUGAAAGCAGGGGAUCUUCGGACCUUGCGCGAUUGAAUGAGCCGAUGUCGGAUUAGCUAGUUGGCGGGGUAAAGGCCCACCAAGGCGACGAUCCGUAGCUGGUCUGAGAGGAUGAUCAGCCACACUGGAACUGAGACACGGUCCAGACUCCUACGGGAGGCAGCAGUGGGGAAUAUUGGACAAUGGGCGCAAGCCUGAUCCAGCCAUACCGCGUGGGUGAAGAAGGCCUUCGGGUUGUAAAGCCCUUUUGUUGGGAAAGAAAAGCAGCAGGUUAAUACCCCGCUGUUCUGACGGUACCCAAAGAAUAAGCACCGGCUAACUUCGUGC